rnacentral:rRNA from 1 species
UCCUACGGGAGGCAGCAGUGGGGAAUAUUGCACAAUGGGCGCAAGCCUGAUGCAGCCAUGCCGCGUGUGUGAAGAAGGCCUUCGGGUUGUAAAGCACUUAUCAGUCGUGAGGAAGGUUUAUGCGUUAAUAGCGUAUAGAUUUGACGUUAGCGACAGAAGAAGCACCGGCUAACUCCGUGCCAGCAGCAGCGGUAAU